UAUGGCCAAAUGUUUUGUUUAUUACAGACAGUAAGAGGAAAUUAACAUAACUCAGAUUCAUGCACUUUUAUUUGAUCAUUAAAUUGAUCAAAAGUGAGAGUAAAACAUUUAUAAUGUUUCAAAAGAUUUCUAUUUCAAAUAAAAGCUGUUCUUUUGAACUUUCUAUUCAUCUCUGAAUCCUGAAAAAUAAAAUGCAUCAGUUUCCUCAAAAAUAUUGAGCAGCACAACUGUGUUCAACAUUGAUAAUAAUCAGAAAUGUUUCUUGAGCAGCAGAUCAGCAUAUUAUUAUGAUUUCUGAAGAUCAUGUGACACUGAAGACUGGAGUAAUGAUGCUGAAAAUACAGCUGCGCAUCACAGAAAUAAAUUACACUUUAACAGAUACUCACAUAGAAAACAGCUGUUUUACAUCACAAUAAUAUUUCAUCCAUUUUUACUGUAUUUUGAUCAAAUAAGUGCAGCCUUGAUGAGCAGAAGAGACUUCUUUCAAAAAAAAAAAAAAAAAAAACUCUUACUAACCCCAACAUUUUCGAUGGCUAUGUACAGUUUGGAUUUAUUCCUUGGUUUUAUUAAUGUUUAAUUCUGUUAAAAAUAAAACAGCUGUGGCACAGAAAACCUGGGAAUAUCAGGCAUUUCAGUUUGAAAAAUGAUGGCAAUAUUUAGUAAGACUUUUUCUAUUAUUACUUGUAUGUAAAAACUGAAAGAGCCAGAAGAGGCUCUUGUGGAUUUGCGUGUUUGAAUUACAAAGCAAGAAAGUGGGAGAGAGCUGACGAAGGCAAGGGAAUGGUUCUGUCCAUCUGUGAAGCGCUCGUUUGACGACAGACUGUGAGUUUGUCCCGCUCCUGAGACAGAUGGUUGCUGGGGGACUCUGAUAACAGGACAGCAGGUCAACGCCGAGGCUGCGCUCCAACUCAACAUGUGUGUUUAUCUGUCAUGUCCAAAUGUCAUAUUCAAGUGCUGGAGGUUUAUUAGCCACAGAAUCUGGUGCGAAUCAUCGGCGUCAUCAGGAAAAUAUGAGCAGCAUCACGCUGACAAAUCUGCUGCUUUAUUCCCGCUUGUGAAAGUGCUUCUGAACAACUGAACAUCACUGGAAAGACUUCUCUGCUGCAUUCAGAGUCCUUAUUCAUCUGUUAAUAUUACUGCUGUUCAUACUCAUGUGUGAUCUCUGAUGGAUGUAGUGUUUCAGGUAACAAACUCAAGAAAGUGAAAGCCUCACAGUUUGUGUUGGUUUGUGAAGAUGAUUUAAUGGUUUAAUUAGGGCUUGUUGUUGCUGUUUUGGGGGUCAUCUGGGAUGAUACGUCGUCUGGGUCGGUUCAUCUCUAUGCCCUUAUGCAAAGAAAAUAUAUUUCCUAAUAAAGGAAUGAUCAUUAUAUUAAAGGACAUAAUGGUAUAUUAGAAAUUAUUGUACAUUUAUUACAAUAUAUUGAAUAAUACAAAAGAAAUUGCUGCUUUCAUAAAUUGAAGAAUAUGUGACAAUGUAUUCAUUUAGACAUCACAAAUGCCAGUAAAGAAGUUUUACUUUUGAUUGCUUGAUCAUGUUGAGCAUGAAUUCAGCUUGUCCUGUCUGUCUCCAGAUCCAGCGUUCACUAAUGGAGUGGAAGAAAAGCUUGAGCUCUGAAACAUGAAAAACAGACUCAGAAAUAAACAAGUGAUUCUCGGUGAAUCUUCUGAACGAUUCAGAUCAUGUCCAGAAAUAUGACCCUUCACCUAGUGAUAAUUAAAGCUUGUCGGUGGCCGCAGGAAGUGAUGCGAUGUCAUUCCCUGAUGUCAUCCGUCUCCCUGGCAACAAUGACAACUGCCAAUGUGACCCAUCAUGAGCGAGAAGAUGAAGAUGAGGUGUGAUAUCAGUCCUGAUGAGUCCUCGGAUCAUGUGUGCUGCUUAGAUCACCUAAAACAGCUGUAAAAUCACACUGAAGGAGGAACCGGAGCCAUCAUCAGACUCGAGGAAAACACCAUGAACAGCGGCGGCCACGAGAAAAAGAUUAACAAAGCUUUUAAGGUUUUUAAAUUGUCCAGUAACAAAUAUAUAACAAUUGACAGAGAGAACUUGAGCGGAGGCUUAAAAGUUGCUUGAUUUUUACCGUACAUUUCAACGUGAGAUAGUCACCACUGAUAAGCUACUAUAAUGUAGAACUUAAAUUUUCUGUAAAGCUGCUUUGCAAUGAUUUGCAUCUUGUAAAGAGCUUUACAAAUAAACUUGAAUUGUUAAUUAAUUGUAAAAGAGCCGACAACCUUAGCAGUCUAACAUCAGACAGGAAUUGUCCUGCACAAUGAAAAAAAGAGCUUUAGAAAUUGCUUGCAAAUUUCACAAAUAAUUACAAAAAAUUAAGUAACAUAAUGAAUUAAACAUGAACUUUCAAAAUAGAAAGAAUGAGAUUAUUCUUCCAUUCUCAGAUGAUCUUUGCUCUACUUAAAACCAGGUUCACAAUGCAAUGCAUGUCCUGCAUGUUAUGAACUGCUUCUCUAUGGCCACUGUAAAGCUUUGCUGUAAAGAUUGUGCAUUUAACAGACAUUUCAUCCAAACUGACUGCAUUCAAGGUUUAGAUGUUAUGACUUCAGCAUUCCCUGAGAAUCCAGCCCAUGACCUUGUGUUUGAGCUCGAGGAGUUUCAUGAAGCUGCUGUGAAGCACUUGCUCAAGUGUGGUUACAGUCACAUUAGUAUCACAUGUUUGACUAUCUUUCAGUGGAUUUAAUGAAUCAGAAAAAUUAUGCUUGAAGUUUUUCAAAUAUUUUAGACCUAUUAUGAGUUAUAUUAUGAAGCUUCAGGAUCCUCAUGAGCUCUGUCUGCUGCUCUUCACAUCCUAUUGAUUUCAGCAAGAGGACGUUCACA
ensembl:lncRNA